GUUUUUCCCAGUAUGCAACUGCAUGGUAAAGUUGUUGAAACAUUGGAGUUGGUGAAGGACAAACACUUUUAGGAUGACACGCUAUAGCAGGGUAAUGAAGAAGAGUAGGAAAGGAUAAUAAUUUUAAAUGUAUUAGUAACAUUCAAUUCUGAUCAUUAAAAGCAUGUUAUUUUUAAA